CUGAUCCUCUGCUCCCUUCGCCUCGUGUCUCUUUUAAAAGCGAAAAACGUCCGAUCCCCUCGAUCCCUUAUGCCCUGGUGGCCGUGAGGUGACUCUGAUCCUCUGCUCCCUUCGCCUCGUGUCUCUUUUAAAAGCGAAAAACGUCCGAUUCCCUCGAUCCCUUCGAUCCCUUAUGCCCUGGUGGCCGUGAGGUGACUCUGACCCUCUGCUCCCUUCGCCUCGUGUCUCUUUUAAAAGCGAAAAACGUCCGAUCCCCUCGAUCCCUUCGAUCCCCUCGAUCCCUUAUGUCCGGUGGCAGUGAGGAGACUAUGAUCCUCUGCUCCCUUCACCUCGUGUCAACGGGAAAUACGUCCGAUCCCCUUUACUCGAUAGAACGUGCCAUCAGAAAACGCUCUUCUUCGGUUUCGUGCGUUCAAAUGUUCUUGUCAGUCGACCAGCGUUCCCAUUCAUUACGGCCUUCGAUUCUUGUGCUCAAGUAAUUCUUAUGUCCAGAACUGUAA